rnacentral:rRNA from 1 species
AUUGAACGCUGGCGGCAGGCCUAACACAUGCAAGUCGAGCGGAUGAAGGGAGCUUGCUCCUGGAUUCAGCGGCGGACGGGUGAGUAAUGCCUAGGAAUCUGCCUGGUAAUGGGGGAUAACGUCCGGAAACGGGCGCUAAUACCGCAUACGUCCUGAGGGAGAAAGUGGGGGAUCUUCGGACCUCACGCUAUCAGAUGAGCCUAGGUCGGAUUAGCUAGUUGGUGGGGUAAAGGCCUACCAAGGCGACGAUCCGUAACUGGUCUGAGAGGAUGAUCAGUCACACUGGAACUGAGACACGGUCCAGACUCCUACGGGAGGCAGCAGUGGGGAAUAUUGGACAAUGGGCGAAAGCCUGAUCCAGCCAUGCCGCGUGUGUGAAGAAGGUCUUCGGAUUGUAAAGCACUUUAAGUUGGGAGGAAGGGCAGUAAGUUAAUACCUUGCUGUUUUGACGUUACCAACAGAAUAUGCACCGGCUAACUUCGUG